GAGCCACUGCAACAAACAGGAACCCCUUCAAAGAGCUUCCAGUCUGGUGGGUAAGUAGGACCAACUACAUAAUCCUUGGUAAGAAAAGGAGGUGGCCCUGACAAGUGCAACUCGAGAAAUGCAAUGCUGUAGAGUCCAAAGGUGUCUGACUUGAACGAAAUGAUCCCACUGGGGGACAAUGCAACAUAUACUCCAGGGUCAUGUUUUGUCAUGAUGCAGCAAGGAGAUCUGUUCCUAACUUGGACUUGGUUGUCUAACCCUCAUCUCUUCUCUUUAUUACAAGGUAAGCAUAGUGGAAAACAUAUUGGACUUAGAUUCAAACACACCUGAACCUGUAACUUAUGAGCCAGGUGACCUUGGGGGUAAGUAAAUUUAUUUCUCUAAUGGGGUUAAAUAAUGCCUACUCAAUGCUUUAAAAGAUUUUCAGUGUGGAAUAAGACUGCAAAUGCUUACAAUAAUAGCACUAAGACUAAUAACAGCUAACAGUUAAUUAUAUAAUGCUUACUAUAUGCUAGGCACUGGUAUUAAGGUCUUUACAUGAAGCACUCAAUAAAUAUUAGCUGCAGAGAAAUCUCACGGAAUUGACUAUAUAACCUGCCCUAACUGACGGGAACGUUACCUAUUCUUUCCAUCAAGGGAACUGAUUGCUUCCAGAAGCUUUUGAUGCUUUCUCUCUCCAUCAUUGUCCCCCUAAGACACAGAAAAGGAAAAACAAUCAGGAUGAGGGGGAGGGAAAAGACAACAUGGAAAUUGAGUCUCAUGUAAAAUCUCUUGUUAUUUAUUUAUUUAUUUUUGAGACGGCGUCUCGCUCUGUUGCCCAGGAUGGAGUGCAGUGGUGUUAUCUUGGCUCACUGCAAGCUCCGCCUCCCAGGUUCAUGCCAUUCUCC
rnacentral:lncRNA from 1 species